UAAUACGUAGAAGGCAAGCGUUACCCGGAUUUACUGGGCGUAAAGAGGGCGCAGGCGGUUUUUCAAGUCGAAUGUAAAAUCUCCCGGCUUAACUGGGAGGGACCAUUCGAUACUGUUGGGCUGGAGGGCAGCAGAAGGAGGUGGAAUUCCCGGUGUAGUGGUGAAAUGCGUAGAUAUCGGGAGGAACACCAGUGGCGAAGGCGGCCUCCUAGGCUGUUUCUGACGCUGAGGCCCGAAAGCGUGGGGAGCGAACAGGAUUAGAUACCCUGGUAGUCCACGCCAUAAACUAUGGACACUAGGUAUAGGGAGUAUCGACCCUCUCUGUGCUGAAGUUAACACGUUAAGUGUCCCGCCUGGGGAUUACGGCCGCAAGGCUA
rnacentral:rRNA from 1 species